UAUUCAGAUCAAUGUAGGCUAUUACAAGUAGAAGGGCAUUAACCCAUCUAAAUCCAUCUCUUCAUUUUACAGAUAAUAAAACAGAGGUCUGGAUUGUCCAUGGGACCAGCCCACGGUCACCAAGACAGUGACAGAGUGGUGGAAUUCAGGCAUCAAUUGAUGCUUCUUGAAUUUUUUCUUUCUAUAAUAUAUAAUAAUGCUCUGGAUUACUUAUGAAGCUCAGCCUUUUUUUGUUUUAAACUCAGAAUAAAGGAGCAUUAUUCCUAAGAAUUCAUCAAUCCAAUGUUCAUGGAGGAGGAUUCAUUUUAGAGAAGAAAAGAGAAACCUCUCCAUGUGCUGCUACAAGGCAGAAUUGUGGCAGGCAUGUGGUGUGAAGCAGAUGUGACUCAAGAUGUGCCUCUUGGAGUUGGGGACUUUCUUGUUGGGUUCACUGCUGCCUUGAUGACUUAGAUCAUGAGGAUUUUUCUGCAUUGGGACCUUUCCUGGAUCCUGCCUGGCUUGCUGAUUCUUCACAUGAUCUACUUCAUGGAAUUUGGUUGUGAUAUCUUCUUUCCCUGAGAUAUGACCUGGAAACUGCUUUUGUGGGUGCCACAGUUAAAGUAAUUAGAGAUCCAGAAAGAAAAUUCUCAUCAUCAAAGUCCUUGGCAGUAUCAAAUAGGGGCAAGUUUUUGCCCUUCUAUGUUAGAGUUACUAAGUUGUUUUUUAAUAGCAGCAUUUUUUAAAAUAGAAACUGCAAACAAAACUGAUAUCAUCAAAUUCAGAAUGUAUAAAUGCAAUGUGAUAAAUGAAGAUAUGAAGAGUAUUUUCACACUAUACAAAAUGUGGAUGUGAAAAAUACAGAGAAGCAGAGGAAGACAUAUUAACUGAUACAAAAAUGAAAGCAGAAUCAGCAAAACAAUAUACAUAAUGAUUAUGACAAUUUACAUGGAAAAGAACAAUGAAAUUAAAAACAAAAUUGAAAUCUGCAUAAUUAUAAUAAUAAAACUUAUUCCCAAAGAGAAAAGGAAAUAUACCUCCCUUUUCUGCAGAGGUCAGAGAAUACAGGGCUUUUCAUCCAAAGCACAAUUCAUUCAAGCUGACUCUUUACAAAGCUCUUCCUUUACAAUCACCAUAGGAUUAUCCCUAUUUUAUAAAAGAGGAAAUUCAGACUUCAAAAAUCUGUCUUGCUCAGGAUUACAAAACUAUUGAGUCCCACAGCCAGGAUUUGACCUGAGAUCUCCUCACGGUAAGUCCGGGACGCCCACCCUUCCCUAUGCCAAAUUAUUUCUGGUCUUACUUUUUCCCCCUUUUCUACAGUACCAUACACUUUUGAAAAAUAUAAUGUUAUGUUAAUUAUAUAUAAUAAAUAUGUUAAUAAAAUACAUAAAAAUAUAAAAUACCGUGAAUUUGCAUGUCAUCUUCACAUAGGGUCCACACUAAUCUUCUCUGUAUCAUUUCAAUUUUAGUAUAUGUGCUGCCAAAGUGAGUAUAAUACCUUAAAAUAUUUUUUUCUUAGAUGGAGUUCUGUAGAAAAGAGAUUAUAUCUACAGGGCUCAGAGUCCUUUGGCUUUUGGAUAUUUUUCCCUGCUUUCAUGGAAAAAUAAACAUGCAACAAUUAUCUUGCUUCAGCUUAAUUCCAAGAGGCGCAGCUCCUCCAGGGAAAAUGAGUGAUGCAUUGCUCAACUGUAAGACACAUUUCCUGAGCCCAAAGGUUACUUGUACAAGUAACAGGAAACCACAAGCCUGCCCUUUUCAGCACCAAGGAUAGAAAACAUUUCCCCAAAGGCCAAAAAUACUGGGAAAGCACAGCACCAUUUUCCGACAUCUUUCAUUGAACUGCCUUCAUUUAUUUACUUAUCCUACAAAUUGGUUGCCACAGAUAAUCAAUGAUGUGUUGGUGAUGGUGAUGGUGUUCAACCUACAGCUGGCCACAAUAACUAAGACAGGAAGGCUGAUGGGGGCUUCUGUUUGGUGCUCAGCCUCAGCUUCUUUUCUGCCCAGGAAUGGAAGACCAUGUUGAUCCAGGCUCAAUGGAGAGAGUACACUGUUCCAUUUCAGUUACUUCAUUCUCUAGUAUUCUAUUACCUUUGAUUUCAUCCCAGCAAGAUUUCUCUUUAUUUCUUCUCACAGGGCAAGGUUGGUAAAAUAGGACCUCACCUGGGUUCUCUCCAUGUGUCACAUUCUUCUGUCCCCAGUAAGACUUCAUGAGGAAGUCUUCAGAGAGCUCUCCUGGCAUCCACUGCUUGGAAUACAUAGUCCCUUCAAGACUGUUCAGGUGCCAUUUCCAACAGGAAAUUAUUGAUGAUCUCCCCCUCUUCUCUCCAAUUACUUGCAUACAAUUAUCCUCCUGGUUGAAUAUAAGCUGCUUGAGAGCAGGGGCCAUUUCAUUUUUGUCUUUGUGCCCCAGUACCCUACCAACAACAGUAACUUGUAUAUGCAUAGUAGAUGCUUCAUAAAUGGUUUUUGAAUUAGUUGAAUUUGUAUUCCAAAUGUGCUUACUACACAUAAAACCUUAGAUAAAGCAUAUUAUUUCACUGGGACUCAGUUUCCCCCUUUGAAAAAAUGAUGGAUGUGGAAAUAUAUGGUCUCUAGCUUUUUUUUUCCC